ACCUCAAAUCAGGUAGGAACACCCGCUGAACUUAAGCAUAUCAAUAAGCGGAGGAAAAGAAAAUAACAAUGAUUCCCCUAGUAACUGCGAGUGAAGAGGGACAAGCUCAAAUUUUAAAUCCAUCGGGUUUUACCCGAUCGAGUUGUAAUUUGAAGAGGCGUUUUCUGUGUUUCUGAUCAGUCCAAGUCCCUUUGGGAUAAGGCAUCAUGGAGGGUGAGAAUCCCGUCCGGUUGAUCAGAUUCGCUUUACGAUACGCUUUCUAAGAGUCAAGUUGUUUGGGAUUGCAGCUUAAAAUGGGAGGUAAAUUUCUCCUAAGGCUAAAUAACGGCGAGAGACCGAUAGCGAACAAGUACCGUGAGGGAAAGAUGAAAAGAACUUUGAAAAGAGAGUUAAACAGUACGUGAAAUUGUUGAAAGGGAAACGAUUGAAGCCAGUCGUACCUUCGGGUAAUCAGCCUUUCGGGUGCGAUUAUGUGGAGUGUGAGGAGCUUAAACACCUUCAUGUUUUGCAUAUUCGUACUCUUGGGUGUACUUGCCCGUGUGGUUGGUUAACAUCAAUUUUGGUGGUCAUAAAAUGACUGGAGGAAUGUAGCUUCGAUCUCGUAUUGAAGUGUUAUAGCCUUCGGUAGAUGUGAUGAUCGAGAUUGAGGAUUGCAACGGAUACCCUUCGGGGCUACCCGUCUGGUCUCUGAUCGUUGCUCUGGUGCCGAAAGCUUGCUUACGGUUAUCAAAGUCGAUGGUCAAUAGGUUAGAACGGGUUAAAUUCGUUAAGGAUGUUGACGUAAUGGCUUUAAACGCCCGUCUUGAAACACGGACCA
rnacentral:rRNA from 1 species